rnacentral:rRNA from 1 species
GCUGGAGGUUGCGGCUAUUUGGCUUGGGCUUAGAUAUGCAAGUUUUUUGCCGUCGUAAGAUAGGUGAAAGCGAACUGUUCAGUAACACGUAGCUAACCUGCCCCUAGGUUAAGGAUAAUCACGGGAAACUGUGCCUAAUACUUAAUAGGAGUUUUUUUCUGGAAAGGAAUUACUCUGAAACUUGUGCCUAAGGAUGGGGCUGCGGUCGAUUAGCUUGUUGGUGGGGUAACUGCCUACCAAGGCUAUGAUCGAUAAGGGCUCUUAGCGGAGUUGCCCUGAGAAGGAAUCUGAGACACUAUUCCUAGCUCUACGGAGCGCGGCAGCCACGAAUCUUUUACAAUGCACGAAAGUGUGAUAAAGCGAGCCAAAGUGCUUUUCGUACAGAAAAGCUUUUCUUCACUCUAAAAAGGCGGAGGAAUAAGGACUGGGUAAAACUAGUGCCAGCCGCCGCGGUAAUACUAGUGGUCCGAGUCGCAACCGUUUUUAUUGGGUCUAAAACAUCCGUAGCUUGUUUAAUAAGUUCUCUGUGAAAUCUUACAUCUCAAGUGUAAGGCGUGCAGAGAAUACUAUUAUGCUAGAGACCGGUAGAUGUAAGGAGUAUGUUCAAGGUAGCGGUUAAAUGUGUUAAUCUUGAGCAGACUAACAAUUAGCGAAGGCACCUUACAAGGACGGAUCUGACAGUGAGGGAUGAAGGCCAGGGGCGCAAAACGGAUUAGAUACCCGUGUAGUCCUGGCAGUAAACACUGCUCACUAAACAUCGGGCCCUCUUCGGGAGGAUUCGGUGCUGAAGCGAAGGCGAAGAUUGAGCUACCUGGGAAGUAUAAUCGCAAGGUCGAAACUUAAAGGAAUUGGCGGGGAGACACUACAACGAGUGACGCGUGCGGUUCAAUUAGAUCCACACCGUGAACCUCACCAGGAGCGACAGCAGGAUGAAGGUCAGUCUGAAGGGCUACCUGACACGCUGAGCGGAGAUGCAUGGCCGACGUCAGCCUGUGCUGUGAAGUGACCUGUUAAAUCAGGUAACAGGCGAGACCCGUGUCUAUAAUUACUAUCGAGAGAGGAACAUUAUGGAGACUGCCUUGGUAACAAGGAGGAAGGUGCGGGCUACGUUAGGUGAGUACAUCCCUAAUCCCCUGGGCUACACGCGCGCGGCAAUGGUAGGUUCAAUGAGAUGCAACUUCGAGAGAAGAAGCUAAUCCCCUAACACCUACCUCAGUUCAGAUCGAGGGUUGCAACCCACCCUCGUGACGCUGGAAUUCGUAGUAAUCGGGUAUUAGCAUUGCCCAGUGAAUAUGUCCCUGUCUCUUGCACACACCGCCCGUCAAACCAACCGAGUUAUGCAGAGUUGAAGUUCUUUUGAAAAAAAACUUUGUAUGACAAGGUAGGUUAAGUCGUCACAAGGU